UUGCAUAAUAGGCUCAUCUAAGGACAAGGAGUCUAGCUCAGGAGUCAAGCAUUUGCCUCACAUUUUCAAAGCCCUGGAUUGGCUCUCUAGUGCCACAAAGAAACAACAAAGGAAGGUGAUGUGGUCAAAGGAAGCCGGGCAUGAUGGUGUAUGCCUGUCAUCUUACUACCAGGAGACAAGCCUGGUCUCCUCCAGACUCAGGGUUCCAGGCCUGAGCCACCAUGACUGGCUGUGGAGGUCUCCAGAAUUUUGUCCGUGUCCUCUGAAGACUUCUUACAGAUUGACCUCAGUCCUGCUUCACCAGGAGCCUCACCCAGGAAGACCCGCUGCACAGUCUCAGUGGCCUCCUGAGUUUGAGGAAGGUCUCUCUCAGGUUGAGAAAGGAAGAUUUGUAACUUCCAUCAUAGCACAGGGAAAGCCACACCUCCAGACGUCCCCUGCCUGAUGGAGCUGCAGCCGAGCUGAGGAGUAAAGGGGCGGGCUGUUUGUUCCUCACUGCACAGUGUUCGUAUUGUUGUAAUCAUUGUGCAAAGGCGUCUGUCACAGGCAUUCUGCUGUAAAUAUACUGCUUAUAUAA